CAAGGUUAUGCAGGAAAUGUACAGAAGAAGAAGAAACAAAAGGCUUGAUUUCUUUAUUCUCAUGAGUUUAGUUACUAGAUGUUUCUUCUAUCCAACACCAGCAAUUAGUCACAUGCUGGCUUUCAAAGGCUGCAGUCAUCAUUUGUUUCUCCACACAUAUGGCAGCGGCUCCUCUCUGAACUGAGGCCUUCACGCUAUGAUAACCACGGGUCUCUUGAAAAAGAAGUUCUAUUCUUCACCACUUAAAUAAGACUCAGAGAAGAACAGAAGCAGAAGAGAAGAGAAACUCCAGAACUUUUCCUGGAACAUAGGAAAGGCUGGAUGCAGUCUCAGGAAAGUGGAAUAUGAUGGCUAUUUCUAACAGUACUACUGUUUAAAAGAUUGGCUGAAGUAA